rnacentral:rRNA from 1 species
GACGAACGCUGGCGGCGUGCCUAAUACAUGCAAGUCGAACGCAGUGGGGACGGGUGAGUAACACGUGGGUAACCUCCCAUCAGAGGGGAUAACACUUGGAAACAGGUGCUAAACCGAUACUGAUGGAUGGACCCGCGGUGCAUUAGCUAGUUGGUGAGGUAACGGCUCACCAAGGCCACGAUGCAUAGCUGGCCUGAGAGGAUGAUCGUCAACACUGGGACUGAGACACGGCCCAGACUCCUACGGGAGGCAGCAGUGGGGAAUAUUCGGCAAGGGGCGAAAGUCUGACCGAGCAACGCCGCGUGAGUGAAGAAGGUUUUCGGAUCGUAAAGCUCUGUUGGUAGAGAAGCGGUAGCUAACCAAAAAGCAACGGCUAACUACGUGCCAGCAGCCGCGGUAAUUC